GCCGUGGCAAUAAAAUAAUCGGCAAAUAAUCGCGGGGGUACCGGGUACCGGCCGCGUGGCCCUCGCGCUUGUGACCGUCGCCGUCCGUCCGUGGUGGUACGAGCCGCGGCAGGAGGCCUACGCCGAGGCGCACGAGGCGGCGGUGGAGGCGGAGGCGGAGGUGCCGGCGUCCGCCGCCGCCGCGACAGCCAGGGCCUCUCCCCCGCCGCCGCGCCGCCCCCCGCUCCUCCUCCCCCACGCGCUCGGCCACGACGAGCACAGGCCCUACCCGCCCAGCCACGACGUGCGCGCCGCCGCCAGGCUGGGGUUCAAGCUGGAGGCCCAGACCCACGCGUAGGAGGAGCGGCUGGAGCUCAAGUUCUUCAAGGAGACCAGCGAGAUGUUGCGGUUUUGGCCCAUACACCUCAGCAACCUGCUGCUACACCUCUAACACCACGGCCCGCUGCUAGUACCGGAGAAGCGGUAGCUGCAAGAGCUAGGAAGGACCCACUCACUCGAAUACCAACGAUCAAGUCACUUACCUCAAGUUACCAUCUAGAAAAGAAGGCAAGCAAGCUACUUGACAUGUGACCGCUAUAUAAAAAAAAAAAAACGGGGAAAGACACUCGUACCGGCCACCCUCAAAAAACCCCCGCUAAGAACACUGUGAACCACAGACAAUUAACCCCGUUUACCCUUCCCUCUUCUCCUUCACCUGUAUAUCUCUAUCUCCCUAGUCACUACCUAUAGGCAAAGCAUGACAGCAUACCUCUCGAAAGAACAGGAAAAUAGAAUGAUCACGAGAACCUCUUAUCUAUUGUCCUAUCCCUGUCCGUAAACCAUGUAUACCUGACGUGUAACGUAAAUCUAACACCUGGCUGAUCCUACUUUUUUUACCUAAAUACACCUGGUACCAACGAAUGGUGUCCUUUUUUUUAUGACUCGGCCUCGAUAAUAUCAGGUAGUUUAAACAUAAAUAUAAGAGAAUUGAAGUUCCUUACUUCAGUACGAAAGCGAGUACUUUACAAGUCAGUUUACUAGAUACGUCAUAUACUCCUUAGUGACCCGAUCUUGACCAUCGACUUUUACCUCGUAACUCUGUCACUAUUAUGUACGGUUCAACGAUUGCAUGGACGUACAGUAUAGUUGUUCUAAACACAAGCUUGUUAAUUAGGUAGCCACUUUGACUACGAAUAGGAUGAACUAACGAGAACCAUGAAUUUGUAAAACUGCAACUAAAGUCCACCUUAAUUAAGGCAUUGACGACUCAAGCUUUGCUUUUAUUUGUAAAAAACAUAACAUCUUUAUAACCUUUCCCUUAAACUGAAUUUUUACCAUAGAAUCGACGACUAUGGCUUACUCAAGUGAAGUUCUUAAGUACCCUACCGAUUAGGGAGUAUCUCCCAUAAAUUAGUACAUUAAGUUUAGUAAUAAGUUCUUCGCUUAAGGGAAAGACUUAAUUAACGGCAGAGACUAAAUUGGUCAACAACGUUUCUCGUAUUAAAAACACUAGACUAAACACGGGGUAGAGAGAAUUGAAGUCAAACAUCUCGAUGACGUAGACUGAUACCACAUAGUAAAGGUACUAUACUAACUAUACGAGGAACUGACACCUAUGCUCUUUCCUUGUUGUGAUAAACCUAUACCAAUACUAAAAGCAGUUUCGUUGUCCAUGUUAGGAGAUUUAGUUGUGAAUUCACCCAAGUAAACCUACGAUAUUAGUCAUCGUAUUUUUCACCGAAUCGGAUUUUGUACACUCUUUACUCUAGCAGGUGCUGUUUGCUGGUGGCGGCCAACUUCGGAACUGGUCUAAGGAUUCGUCGAUGUAGUUGAGUAACGACCGGCAGGUCCGCAUGGGAGUACCUCUAGUAUAGUUUCCUUUCUACCACCGACGCGGUGACGGGUCGUCCUUUAACAAUAGUAUACAUGUUGUCCUUUUCGGUGGUCGUGAUUUUACCCUCCGUGGCGGCCGGCCGACCCGUCGCGAGUUGUAUCUGCCCAGGAAGAGACGAUUCUCGUAGAGGUUGUCGGCGCGUUGCGCGGCGCGCGUUUUUUGCGUAAACCGCGCGCGGCAAGCGGACCAAACCGCGCCGGCUGUCGCCACCGAAGUCGUCUACGCAGUUUUAACUCGCGCGCACGCAUCGAGGUCGCCGGCGUGAUUUUACGUCGCGCGCGAUUUGUAACGCAUGUAAAAAAAUUAUUUUACUAUUUAUUUUAAGUAUCUAUUUUUUUUGCUAUGUAUCUAUAAAAUGUAUCAAGGUAUCGUAUCUAUCUAUCUUUUUGAUGAUGAUUUAUCACGUUGCUGUAUUUUUUUUUGAUGAUCUACCACGUUGAUGUAUGCGUUGAUGUCGGAUGAGGGUCAGCAGUAGCAGUAGCGGCGGUAGGAGCGACCAGACCAGGCUCCAUAGCUAGGUGUACAGGUUGGUUGCCAGUAGUAGUCGGCUUUUCUAGCUGAAGGGUGGUAAAACUUGCUACAGCGGGACGCUAUAGCGAUCUCGGAAAGCGGCUGCGGAUAGGUUGGCGAGCAGCGCCGCGGAAACACACAGGAGCGCCGCGGAACGGGUCAUCCGAACGAGCAUCCACUGCAGGAGGCCCACCGCAGCCGCGGUGAGGCGGUACCAGGCGAGCAGGAGUACCCGCUGCUCCUCCGCCGCGACGGCGAGUCGUACGAGGCGUGCCAGAACACGGCACGCUUCUGCUCCGCCG
rnacentral:rRNA from 1 species